GUGUCAGCCGCCGCGGUAAUACGGGGGGUGCAAGCGUUGUUCGGAAUUAUUGGGCGUAAAGAGCGUGUAGGCGGCUGAAUAAGUCAGAUGUGAAAUCCCUGGGCUUAACCCAGGAAGUGCAUUUGAAACUAUUCAGCUUGAGUAGGGGAGAGGAAAGUGGAAUUCCUGGUGUAGAGGUGAAAUUCGUAGAUAUCAGGAGGAACACCGGUGGCGAAGGCGACUUUCUGGCCCUAUACUGACGCUGAGACGCGAGAGCGUGGGUAGCAAACAGGAUUAGAUACCCGUGUAGUCC
rnacentral:rRNA from 1 species